CAAAAAAAAAAAUUAAAUAAAAUAAUAAUAAACGGUCAAAAAGACCUCGAUAAGAACAAAACAAAACAAGACCGUUGGAUGUAUGAAGAUUCUAGAUCCUUAAUUAAUACCAAAAAAAAAAAAAAUUGAAAUGAACGGUGGGAUAUUGAGAUUUGAAAUGGACGGUUAGAUUAGGGGAAGAAGUUUUAACCUAACCUAAACCUAACAACAGCAGUAGCACGCUGCACGCCUCAUUUGAUCAUUUUAUCAUAAUCUAAACGGCUCUCUCUCUCUCCUAACUUGCUCCUAUCCAUCUCUCUCUCUCUCUCCUAACGCCUCUGAAUCUCCUAACUUUCUCACACCUCUGAAUCUCCCUCUUCAUCAUCUCUCUGCAUCUGAAUCUCCUUAUUGGCGAACGGUAAGAUCUGUCUUAUUCUCUCACGGUAUAAGACCUGUCAUACUAUACUCACGGAGUCACGGUAUAACCGUAUAAGGUAUUUUUUCUUUUGCUAUGUAUAAUUAAUUAAUUUGUGCUUUUUUUUUGAAGUUUUAUCUUUUUUUUUUCUUUUUUUUUUUUUGUAGAUCUGUCAUACUAUACUCAGUUACUCACGGUAUAACCGUAUAAGGUUUUUUUUUUCUUUUGCUAUGUAUAAUUAAUUAAUUUGUGCUUUUUUUUUUGAAGUUUUAAUUUUUUUUUUCUUUUUUUUGUAGAUCUGUCAUACUAUACUCACGGUAUAAGUGUAUAACCGUAUAAGGUAUUUUUUCUUUUUUCUUUUGCUAUGUAUAAUUAAUUAAUUUGUGCUUUUUUUUUUGAAGUUUUAAUUUUUUUUUUCUUUUUUUUUGUAGAUCUGUCAUAUUCUACUCACGGUAUAAGGUAUUUUUUUAUUCUUAUUCUAAGUUUCGAUCUUUUGUUCAUUAAUUGUUCUGCAAUGUAUAUUUCGUUAUUUUGUGCUUUUUUUUUGUGAAAUUUUAUUUUUCUGUGUAUAUGAUCAUGAUAUUGAGUAUAUGAAUUUGAUGGGGGUUUUAUGGUUUAUACUAUAUGAUACUUGUAUAAAAAAAAGCAUAUAUUAUAAUUCAAUGUAACAUGUAGUUUUAGUUAGUGUUAUGUUGUGUAUUUAUGUCCCAAAUCCCAAUUUAAUCCAAGAAUUGUUUGUGGGAAGUAUGAUAUGAGGAUUUUUUUUUUGUUCAAAUUUAGUUUUUGUGUGUGUGUGUGUGUUUUUUUUUUUUUUUUGGAAACUAAACUCCAAGUAAUGGACUAUAAAAUAAUUGUGCAUUUGUGCCUAAUGUCAUACUUUGUACAUUCUGCCCAAGUCCAACAUUUAUUAAAUGGGCCUAGUUUGUCUGAGGCCUCUAUUAGUUUGUUACCAUUACCUCAGGAAAGUCCAGUGAAAUGUAUACUUGUCUGAUUGGCUUAAAGUUAGUACUUAAAGUUAGUAUACUUGUAUGUACUUAAAAUGUAUACUUGUAUGAUUGGCUUAAAGUUAGUACUUAAAAUGUACACAUAUGUCAGUCACAUGAGACAAUGCAUGCUUAAUUGCUCACUAUUAGUAGAAUCUGUCACUUAAUUUGGUACUUAUAAAUGCUGUUUUUUUUUUGUUUCAGUCAUGUCUCGCGAGUAUGAUGAAUUUGACUAUGAGAGGCAAUCAAAUUUUGAUACUGUUAGCUCUCAAGCUGCCUCUGUCCCGCUUGAUGAUGCUAGUAAUACCGGCACUAUCAAUCCUUCUGUUAAUAAACGUCAAAGAACCGCAGGUAUAUGGAAGCAUUACACUUUUUUUGUAAAGACGAUAGGUAAUGAAAAGGUAGAUUAUGCUCGUUGUAAUUUGUGUGGCAAAGAAUAUAAAGCACCUGGUAAAGCGGGUACUUCAACUUGUAGAGCUCAUAUUAAUGCAUGUUUGGAAAAGCAUGGUCUCCAGUCUGGUAACGAAUCACAAUUUGAUCAAAAAACUUAUUUACAAAAGUUUGCUAAAGCUAUAAUCUGCCAUGCAUAUCCUUUAAAUAUUGUAGAGCAUGAAUACCUUAGGGAA